GAUGAAGAACGUAGCAAAAUGCGAUAAGUAAUGUGAAUUGCAGAAUUCAGUGAAUCAUCGAAUCUUUGAACGCACAUUGCGCCCGCCAGUAUUCUGGCGGGCAUGCCUGUUCGAGCGUCAUUUCAACCCUCGAGCACAGCUUGGUGUUGGGACUCGCGUUAAUUCGCGUUCCCCAAAUUGAUUGGCGGUCACGUCGAGCUUCCAUAGCGUAGUAGUAAAACCCUCGUUACUGGUAAUCGUCGCGGCCACGCCGUUAAACCCCAACUUCUGAAUGUUGACCUCGGAUCAGGUAGGAAUACCCGCUGAACUUAAGCAUAUCAAUAAGCGGAGGA
rnacentral:misc_RNA from 1 species